rnacentral:lncRNA from 1 species
GCCUACAAAUCUAUCAGUGGUAAAGCAUUCAAGAAGUCACUGGAUACAAAAGUCACCUGCAAGAGUUCACCCUCUACUGGAGUGCUGAAGAAACUUCAUCAUUGAGGUACUGCUGCACUGGUACUGUGGUACUCUAUAAAAUUAAAUAUUAUCAGAAGUCCAUAAGCUUCUGAUCUGCAAACUUCCCUUCCAGCACCUGGUGCAAGAAAUUUCUCAGGACUUCAAAACAGAUCUGUGCUUCCAGAGCACAGCUAUUGGUGCUUUGUGGAGGCAAGGGAGGCCUAUUUGGCUGGCCUUUUUGAAGAUAACAACCUAUGUGUCCUCUAUGCCAAAUGUGUAACAAUUAUGGCAAAAGACAUCCAGCUAGCACACCACAUAUGUGAAGAACAUGCUU